rnacentral:rRNA from 1 species
UACGUAGGGUGCGAGCGUUAAUCGGAAUUACUGGGCGUAAAGCGUGCGCAGGCGGUUCGUUGUGUCGGUGGUGAAAGCCCCGGGCUUAACCUGGGAAUGGCCAUGGAAACUGGCGAACUGGAGUGUGGCAGAGGGGGGUGGAAUUCCGCGUGUAGCAGUGAAAUGCGUAGAGAUGCGGAGGAACACCGAUGGCGAAGGCAGCCCCCUGGGCUGGCACUGACGCUCAGGCACGAAAGCGUGGGGAGCGAACAGG